rnacentral:rRNA from 1 species
AAUGCUGACAUCAGUAACGAUAAAGCGGGUGAAAAGCCCGCUCGCCGGAAGACCAAGGGUUCCUGUCAAACGUUAAUCGGGGCCGGGUGAGUCGACCCCUAAGGCGAGGCCGAAAGGCGUAGUCGAUGGGAAACAGGUUAAUAUUCAUGUACUUGGUGUUACUGCGAAGGGGGGACGGAGAAGUCUAUGUUAGCCGGGCGACGGUUGUCCCGGUUUAAGCAUGUAGUCUGGUUAUCCAGGCAA